rnacentral:misc_RNA from 1 species
CUUAUUUAGAGGAAGUAAAAGUCGUAACAAGGUCUCCGUUGGUGAACCUGCGGAAGGAUCAUCAUCAAUUUCAUAUCCCAUCGCUCCCCGCGUGCGUUGGGAUCCAUGAUAAACCUCUCUGUGCACCGUAAACCGUUCACUUUGGCAGGCUUUGGUGGUGAGCGUGAGCUCCUCGCCAACCUCGCGUUCUCCCUCCCCCGAGGGGUUCCGCGUGGCGGCCUGCCGGAGUCCCGCAAUUAAAAACACGUUUUCGAACUUGACUGAAAUUUUCCUUUGAGAAAAUCAAAGAACCUAAAACAACUUUCAACAACGGAUCUCUUGGCUCUC